GAUGAACGCUGGCGGCGUGCCUAAUACAUGCAAGUCGAGCGAACAGACGAGGAGCUUGCUCCUCUGACGUUAGCGGCGGACGGGUGAGUAACACGUGGAUAACCUACCUAUAAGACUGGGAUAACUUCGGGAAACCGGGGCUAAUACCGGAUAAUAUAUUGAACCGCAUGGUUCAAUAGUGAAAGACGGUUUUGCUGUCACUUAUAGAUGGAUCCGCGCCGCAUUAGCUAGUUGGUAAGGUAACGGCUUACCAAGGCAACGAUGCGUAGCCGACCUGAGAGGGUGAUCGGCCACACGGGAACUGAGACACGGUCCAGACUCCUACGGGAGGCAGCAGUAGGGAAUCUUCCGCAAUGGGCGAAAGCCUGACGGAGCAACGCCGCGUGAGUGAUGAAGGUCUUCGGAUCGUAAAACUCUGUUAUUAGGGAAGAACAAAUGUGUAAGUAACUAUGCACGUCUUGACGGUACCUAAUCAGAAAGCCACGGCUAACUACGUG
rnacentral:rRNA from 1 species